AAGUUCUCAACUGCAUCUCUAUUGAUGUGGCUUGGAUAGUGGGGGUUACAUUUGCAGGCUUUUUGAAAAAGAAGUCUGCUCCCCUGAAAUGAAUUAGUGGUAUCUAAGCAGAGACUACUAUAGGUGUGAUAACUAUCUAUGCCUUGGUAUACUGCAUAAACUGCUUCUAAUAACAAACAGUUGACCA
rnacentral:misc_RNA from 1 species